rnacentral:rRNA from 1 species
UACGGAGGGGGCUAGCGUUGUUCGGAAUACUGGGCGUAAAGCGCACGUAGGCGGAUUGGAAAGUCAGAGGUGAAAUCCCAGGCUCAACCUUGGAACUGCCUUUGAAACUCCCAGUCUUGAGUUCGAGAGAGGUGAGUGGAAUUCCGAGUGUAGAGGUGAAAUUCGUAGAUAUUCGGAGGAACACCAGUGGCGAAGGCGGCUCACUGGCUCGAUACUGACGCUGAGGUGCGAAAGCGUGGGGAGCAAACAGG